CUCCAAUGAUGACUUCUGUUUUGUGCCAAGUGUCUGGGCCACUGAAUGUUCAUGAUGGUAUUGAGCAUACCCAAAUCACUGUAC